rnacentral:sRNA from 1 species
CUUCUCUGCCUCCCACCCUUCUGCACCCAAACUCUCCACAGCCCUCGGGCCCAGGUGCAUCCCUUCAGCUCUGAGGGCGCUGCUCUCCCCUGCCUUGGCAUCCAGCCUCAGCUAAAGAGGGUCAUACACCUUUGUGAGAAACACAUGACUUUCUUCCCUGGCAGCUUUCAGGCAGUUCUUUAUGCCCAAUAUUCUGAAGCUGCUUUCCACUGUGUGUUGGAUCCUGCCUGUCACUAGGAGUCUCUCAGUCUCCUGCCCUUUGAGACUCUUUCUCUUGGUCUGGGGCCUGCCUGGGCCUCUGCCCCUCCACUUGAACUUAGUUCAGCAAUUGGCUUCUCCCACACCACCUGUUUCCCCCAGCGCUUCCACUUCUGAGGCUUGGGAUGCACAGACUGCUUCAAGAACUGUGCUUGCUGGGUGUCAAUUAUUCUCGCUUUUGGGGUGUGGACUCCUACCCUGGUGGCUGCUGCCUGAGCACUAGUCUGGUGAUUCCUGCUCUGGGCCUCUCAGUUUCUGCCACCCUGUGAGCUUCCCCAGUUACAUGUGGGCCUGGCUGAGUGUCUCCAUCUUUCUCUGGCUCCAAGAUGCUGGUGGCCCUGGUGAGGUCUGCCAUUGGUCUGCCAGGUCCCUCUGCACUGAGGCAGGGGAGGCCAGCAAGGACUUCAGGGCUGCAGAGCCUUCCCUGCAGUUUCUACCUUACAAACAAACAGGGAUCUAAUCCCUAACCUGGGGUACGUGUGAGACCACAGGGAGAAGGCCCUCGAGGCAUGGGCACCAUGCCAGGCCUGUAGGGCACCUUCCUGCAGCAGGCAGAAUCCCCUUCCCAAGUUGGAGGGGAAAGUGACAAGAACCAGGGCCCAGGGAGGGAGCAGCAAGGCCAUGGGAAAGGGCAGCCAGCAUCCGGCUGGAUUUGGGCUGCCUCUGGGGAUUCGGGAGGGAGGACUGGUGGAGGACAAGGCACACUUGGCUCAGCAGCAUUCCCCUCCUCUCCCUAGGGAAACCUGUUUGACUUCUUACGCUUGACGGAAUGGCGUGGCCCCCGCGUGCUCUACUUCGGGGACCACCUCUAUAGUGAUCUGGCGGAUCUCAUGCUGCGGCACGGUUGGCGCACAGGCGCCAUCAUCCCCGAGCUGGAGCGCGAGAUCCGCAUCAUCAACACGGAGCAGUACAUGCACUCGCUGACGUGGCAGCAGGCGCUCACGGGGCUGCUGGAGCGCAUGCAGACCUAUCAGGACGCGGAGUCGAGGCAGGUGCUGGCUGCCUGGAUGAAAGAGCGGCAGGAGCUGAGGUGCAUCACCAAGGCCCUGUUCAAUGCGCAGUUCGGCAGCAUCUUCCGCACCUUCCACAACCCCACCUACUUCUCGAGGCGCCUCGUGCGCUUCUCUGACCUCUACAUGGCCUCCCUCAGCUGCCUGCUCAACUACCGCGUGGACUUCACCUUCUACCCACGCCGUACGCCGCUGCAGCACGAGGCACCCCUCUGGAUGGACCAGCUCUGCACCGGCUGCAUGAAGACCCCCUUCCUUGGUGACAUGGCCCACAUCCGCUGAGGGCACCUUUAUUGUCUGGGACAGGCCCCCAGCCCCUCCUGCCCCAUCCACCCAGACAAGCAAUAAAAG